CUCACCGCCGGGGCAUCAGCAUCCUGGAGAAGCUCAUCAAAACAUGCCCGGUGUGGCUGCAGCUGAGUCUGGGCCAGGCAGAGGUGGCCAGGAUCCUGCACCGGGUGGUGGCUGGGAUGUUCCUGGUUCGCCGGGACAGCAGCUCGAAGCAGCUGGUGCUCUGUGUCCACUUUCCUUCUCUGAACGAAAGCUCGGCCGAGGUGCUCGAAUACACCAUUAAGGAAGAAAAGUCGACAUUCCCCUUUUCAGCCUCCAACACUGGAGUUGGGCCAGGAAAAAAAUACAUCAUGAGAUAAUUUAACUCCAAGAACUUUAUUGUAAAACUUCAGUGGUGAAUUUCUUUUAAAAAAAAUAGAUCUUGAAUCAUA
rnacentral:lncRNA from 1 species